AAGAGGAUGUACGAGCCCUAAAAGAUGUUAAAACUCUAAGGAGGAGGAACAGGAAUGUUGGGUAGCUAGUCCUCCAUGAACAGAUAGAUAGGGUGAAAGGACAAUGAAGGAACACUAAAAAUCACAAGUAGCCUUACCUAACAUACAAGCAUCUGGAAGAUGGGAGUCUUGUAUGUCAAAAUCUCCCCCAGCCUUAAUUAAUUACAUCCCCUUUUUAAAAAAGUACCAUUUCAGGACUAUGUCAUCAUUAUCUAUCAUAAUCCAGUCUCCAGGACUCACUCUUAUCACCAAAAUUGUGUCACAGUCCCCAAUCACUCUGGUAGCCAAAAUAUCAAGAACCUCUUGAACAAAAUUUAAUGGGGAUGUUCAAAGGAUAAUGAACUGAUUUAAGUAGACAGGAAAUUGAAACAAAACAGGUGGUCUUAAUCUCCUCAAAAACUUCAAUUCUGUGAGCACCCCACACCAUCUUCCUUGUAGGCGAUCAAUGAAGUUCCUAUGCUGUCUGUCAGAGGUCAAGGGGGACUUUGUCAGGACUCUCUGGGCGUAUUCCUGGGGCACCUAAUAAAACUGAAAUCUGGAGUCCUAGAAGGGCAUGCAGCUCUCCUAAGAGGACCCACUUUCUCUGUGAAGAGUGUUCCCUUUUCCUAACCCUUCUAUUAAAAUCAUGCUUGUCACUCUGAGUGAGAUAUGUGAAAUUGUUCUGGCCUAUCACUAGAAUCGGGAUUUGAAGAAGAGACUCCACAGCUGCCUCAGCUUUGCAGCAGGCUCUACCCUAUAACAUGGGUAGGGAUGGAGGAAGGUGACUUAGAA
rnacentral:lncRNA from 1 species